UUGCCCUGCAAAAUGAAAAAUAUCUGUCACUGAAAAUAAUUUUAAAAACAAUUCCUAAAUGAAAAGGCUGCUAUCACCAAAAUAUAAUUAACAGUAAUGUGUAUGAUGAUCUGUUAACAAUUAAAGAGGCAAUCCCAAAAAGCCACCAACUUUUAAUUAUGUCUUUAUUCUCUCCCAGUAGGAAACCCUGAUGAAUAUUCUGCUGUUCUAACGGGGACAGCAUUCCAGAACCAGUUACUUCCUUGUCAGCCUGGGACAGCUUCAAGGAUGUGGAUCUGGAGCUCUCUGACUCACUGCUCAGUCCCAUCAAAAGCAACAUGACAAUUUUGUCCAUCUGUGAUAAUACACUAACUUAAGGAAAGCAUCUGAAAUUCUGACUCUCAGAGUCUUAUAUCCGUGAGGCUGGGACAGGAAUAUUACUGGAGCUGAAAGUUUUCCAAAGAAUAUCGAGUUUUCAGUACUCUGCCUCUGUGCCAACAUCUCUUGUUUGGAGGGGAUUAUAUAUCAAGCAGCACAACAGCAUACCCCCUUCUUCAAAUGUUUUCUCCUGCGUUCAAGUAUUCCCUUGUUCCUGAAAGCCUGGAUUUGUCCUAGGCAAAUUCACAAGCUAUCCUUCCCUCCAUCCAUAACAACGAGGCUCUCUGUUGUCCCUUCACACCACCUCCUUCCUCGAGGCUGUAGCAGAUGAGCACUGGCAGAUCUGCCCCCCUUUGCUGCUCUACCAGGUGUAGAGGCAAGGUGUGUAUCCAAAACUCAGCCGCUCCAGUUCACAGCUGCCCUGUACAGUGGCCAUUCCCACUUGGGAAGUAACUGUCAGCAAAGUGCCAACAUAAAAUCUGGGGGGAAAGAAGGAAGACCUUUACACCACAGUCUACCUGCUUAAGUGGUAAUUUAUCUAAUGGCAACUUUUAAGUCCAGGGCAAGUUGUACAUAAUUUGAGGAAAAACAAAGAUUGCAGUAAAACAGGCUAAUACAGAAGAUAGUCAUAUUUCAUAUUAAUAUGAAAUUAAUGUAUCUAAGUUCAUUUAUCAUCCAAUUUAUCUCUGAAAUUUAUCAUUUGUAAGACUGGAAUGUAUUCAGCGACAAAAAG